ensembl:lncRNA
UUAAUAAAAGUUCAUAUUGGAGCGAUUAGUUUGUAAAACAUUUUUGUGGUUGUUUUUUGCAAAGUAUGUAUUACACUAACCAUAUUUUUUAUAUAUUUUUCAUUUUGAAUCUUUAACAGCAGGAAUUACAUCCUCUGGCCUCACUGCAGGAAGCUGCCGAGCUGUCUUCCUGGGCAUCUGAGAACGUGUCUGCGUGUGUGGAAGAAGAUUCAGGCCAUUUUUGGAGCUGAUGAUCCAGUUGUCAGUGGGAAUGAUUAGGAUGGGCCUGGUGGUGAGAAACAUACCUUCACUCCUUCCUGCAGCAUCUUCUGUUCCUCAGAGCUCCUGGAGAUGCUGAGAGCAAGCCACAUUUUGAGCCAGAAAUGGAGCCAGCAUCUGGAAACGUCAUCCUUCACAGAAAGCAUAUGCAGAGAUUGGACAUGACAUAAGAAAACAAGAUACCUUUUCAAUAUUUUCCAGGAUGCAGAGUGUGUGAGCAGGACUGAGCUGGGUGACAGUUUUACCAUCAUACAAACUGUUGAUUGCAUGGAGCCGAUUCACGUCACACAAGACACUGUUAACAUCACGCUGGACGACGAGACAAAAUUCUUGCAGAGUUUUUCCUAUCUGAAUGAUCUCAGGCCUGAUUGUUGUGAAGCUUACCACCAUUGUUUUACAUUUAAUAACUCUUUGGUCUUUUUUCAUAGUGCUUCGAGCUGUACUAUUCUAAGUGCCUAUACAGAUCCGUGGACAAUGUAUUUCCUACAUAAAGAAAUUUAAAAAAAAAAACUUUAGGUCAUCGUUCUCAUUUUGUAUAUUGACACAUGUCGUAAAGUUGCUCCUUGUUUGAUCUCUGCCACCUUAGGGUGCCUAAUAUAACAGUGUCAAAAUGUUUUCUAACUGUUCAAAGACACACUAACUUUAUUAACUUGAAUGUAUAUUUAAAAUUUUUAUACUGGAUUAAAAUAUAAAAUUACAAUUAAAAAGAAUCCUUUGUUUAACCAUGUAUUUGCUAUUUCUGCUUUAGUUUUGUAUAAUUCUCCAUGUUUUGUAAUAUAACCUUUGAUUAAUCUGGUUAAUAAAAUGCAAUUUCUCUUAACCAAAUAAUUUCAUUUUUUCUGAUAUUAGUAGCCUACCAUUGCAAUUAUCCUCUGCUUUAAAAUAGAUGUAUUUUGAGCCUUGACCUCUAACCAACUAAAUCUCUCUUUCACA